CUAAAAUGGUAUUACAUAUUAGCGUGUAAAGCUUGAACGCCUACAAAAAAGAGCGCAAGAGAAAGGCCACCUUAUUAAGCUUCAUUGUAUCCGGCACACCCAGUUCCCGGUUUGUAAUAAUCGGUUACGUCUUUUGCACAUCCACGUGGUACCUUUCAAAACCCAUAGAUCACCAACCAAUGUUCAAUCGUCCCAUAUAUACAUGGCCUAACCUUUCACUUGCCUUUCUAAUUUCCCACCAUCAAGAAUAAAUCUUUCUCAGCCUUUGUGUUUUCUUUCUUUUCAAGUUGCAGUUGCCGAAAACCCUUUCUUGAAUUGCGAUUUCUAUAGUUGUUUUGCCUUGUGCAUGAAACAGGAAACAAGUAGCACCAUGAUUGCAGAGCAAAGAGGUCUUAACCGACCAAAGUUUGGUGCUCUCUUGCACUCUGACCCUGCAAUCUUUACCAACCAAGAAGAUGAUUACUCCAACCAUAAUAAGACUAGUCCUAGUCCAGCCUCUGUUUCAAGUCCUAGAUAUUCUAAUAGCAGCACAACCACAAGUGGUGAGGCCUCUUCUUAUCCCAUGUCUCCUUGGAGCCAGCCAUCUCCUUAUUCUAAAUCUCCUUGGAUAAUCCCAUCUCCAAUCAUCAACCAUAAUCUCAGUAAUAAUGGCCUUAUUGGAUCCAUUGUACGCGAAGAAGGUCAUGUUUAUUCUUUAGCUGCUUCUGGUGACUUGUUGUAUACUGGCUCAGAUAGCAAGAACAUACGCGUAUGGAGGAAUUUGAAGGAAUUCGCCGGGUUCAAGUCGAAUAGUGGCUUAGUUAAGGCCAUUGUUAUAUCUGGAGACAAGAUUUUCACUGGUCAUCAAGAUGGGAAGAUCAGAAUUUGGAAGACAUUUCCCAAAAACCCUAGCGUCCAUAAACGAAUUGGAAGCUUACCAACUUUUAAAGAAUCCAUUAAAAAAUCCAUCAACCCCAAGAACUACGUAGAAGUUCGCAGACACCGCAAUGUUCUACGCAUCAAGCAUUUCGACACAGUAUCCUCUCUGAGUUUGAACGCAGAGCAAGGUUUAUUAUACUCAGGAUCCUGGGAUAAAACUUUGAAAGUAUGGCGGAUUUCGGACUACAAGUGCCUGGAAUCGAUCAACGCGCACGACGACGCAAUAAAUUCAGUAGUGGCGGGGUUCGAUUCAUUGGUAUUUACAGGUUCGGCGGAUGGAAUGGUAAAAGUGUGGAGAAGGGAGCUUGAAGGAAGAGGAACCAAGCAUUUCCUGGUGCAAACACUGUUAAAACGAGGAAACGCGGUGACCGCCCUAGCAGUAAAUCAAGAAUCCGCUGCGAUUUACUGUGGUUCCUCCGACGGAUUGGUGAAUUUUUGGGAACGUGAAAAGCACUUGUCACAUGGUGGGGUACUCCGGGGCCACAAAAUGGCUGUCCUAUGUUUGGCAACCGCCGGUAAUUUGGUGUUCAGUGGAUCCGCGGAUAAAAGCAUAUGUGUAUGGAGGAGGAGAGAGCCAGGCGGGAUCCACACAUGCUUGUCGGUUUUGACACGCCACGGCGGGCCAGUGAAGUGCCUGGCCGUUGAAAAGGAUCAACAUUCCGACAAAGGAGAUCAACGGUGGAUAUUAUACAGCGGGAGCUUAGACAAGUCCGUUAGAGUGUGGCGCGUGUCAGAUACGCUCCAGAGCUAAGGAAGUGUCACUGUUUCUGUAUCAGUACCAUUUCAAUUCCAAAUUACCCAGGCUCAGCAACCCUCACCGCCCACAAACGAAAGUCAUUAUCAAGGUUAAACGAGAGGGGAAUGGACGUGAAAUUACGCGGAGCCACAGCACUAGCAUUGUGAUUCAGUAAGGUGGGUCCUACAAUACAGGAGAAUAUGGACCACUCGAUUGUAAGAUUUAGGUGUAAAUAUUAAAUAAAAAUAAUAGUAUAGCAACAACCAAAGAAGUGAUCAGUGAUGCAAUGUAGAGAAUAGCAUCACUUGAAAAAUGGGUUUCCUCAUGUAAGAAGCAAUGUGGACAUUUUCUUGUGUCCUCUUAUCAAAGAAAUUUGUUGGUUUUUGGACACUUAGCAACUUCUAGGAGG
rnacentral:misc_RNA from 1 species